rnacentral:antisense_RNA from 1 species
CUUGACCGAACCCAGCCAGAGCGGCUCGUCCCGGUCCUGGCCGUAGGUGGCGAGGAUCGCGCUCGCCUC